ACUCCUACGGGAGGCAGCAGUGGGGAAUUUUGGACAAUGGGCGAAAGCCUGAUCCAGCAAUGCCGCGUGUGUGAAGAAGGCCUUCGGGUUGUAAAGCACUUUUGUCCGGAAAGAAAUCCUUGGCUCUAAUACAGUCGGGGGAUGACGGUACCGGAAGAAUAAGCACCGGCUAACUACGUGCCAGCAGCCGCGGUAAUACGUAGGGUGCGAGCGUUAAUCGGAAUUACUGGGCGUAAAGCGUGCGCAGGCGGUUUGCUAAGACCGAUGUGAAAUCCCCGGGCUCAACCUGGGAACUGCAUUGGUGACUGGCAGGCUAGAGUAUGGCAGAGGGGGGUAGAAUUCCACGUGUAGCAGUGAAAUGCGUAGAGAUGUGGAGGAAUACCGAUGGCGAAGGCAGCCCCCUGGGCCAAUACUGACGCUCAUGCACGAAAGCGUGGGGAGCAAACAGGAUUAGAUACCCCAGUAGUCCCAUGAU
rnacentral:rRNA from 1 species